rnacentral:rRNA from 1 species
CCUUUGACAGGUUGAAGUGGGCUGUGACUGAGGAGCCAAUCUUGGCCUUGCCAGACCAUGCCAAGCCAUAUGAGGUGCAUAUAGACGCAUCAGACUUUGCCAUAGGGGGCAUGUUGAUGCAAGAGGGACGUCUAGUCAUGUUCGAGAGCAUGAAGCUAAAUGAGACUGAAUGUAAGUAUACUGUCCAAGAGAAGGAGAUGACUGCAGUGGUACACUACUUGCACACUUGGUGCCAUUACCUAUUAGGGUCGAGGUUCAUGGUUAGGACGGACAAUGUGGUGACUAGCUACUUCCAGACACAGAAGAACCUGUCCCCCAAGAAGGCGAGAAGGUAAGAUUUUCUUACAGAAUUUGACUUUUUGAUGGAGUACAAGCCAGGAUGGGCAAACCUAGCGACAGACGCCUUGAGCAGGAAGGCUAACCUUGCUGCCAUUACCGUACCAGAGGGGUCACUGGUGCCGUGCAUCAAGGAGGGACUUGCGCAUGAUCUUACAGCCAAGGCUCUUAUGAAGUACGCCCAGCAAGGUAAGACUAGGUGGUUUUGGUUGCAAGAUGGCUUGUUGUACAUUAGGGGUAGUAGAUUGUUUGUGCCGUAGUACGAGAAGCUCUGCAAGGAAGUUUUGCAAGAAUGUCAUGACUCAAGGUCGGCUAGACAUUCAGAAGUGAGUCGCACCUUGGCACUGAUCGAGGAUCGGUAGUACUAGCCACACAUGAAGAACGAUAUGGAGGCCUGUGUGAAGACUUGUCUUGUGUGCCAACAGGACAAGGUGGAACUCAAGAAACCAGGAGGUCUCUUGGAGCCAUUGCCAAUGCUAGAGCGACCAUGGGAGAGUGUUUCUCUGGACUUUAUAGUCGUUCUACCCAAAGCAGAAGGGUUUGGAAGCAUCAUGGUAGUGGUGGGCAGGUUUUCUAGGUAUGGAAUCUUCAUUCCAGCAACCAAAGAGUGCCCAAUCGAGGAGGCAGCUCAAUUGUACCUGAAAAACAUGGUUAACUACUGAAGAGUGUCGAGGACCAUUGUUAGUGAUCGGGACAGGCGUCACAUGGGUAGGUUCUAGACUGAGUUGUUCAAGCUGUUAGGGUCAGACUUGAACUUUUCCAUCAGCAUGCAUCCGCAGACUGAUGGGUAGAGAGAACGUGUCAAUGGACUAUUGGAGGUCUAUCUCAGGCACUAUAUGAGUGCCACAUAAAGGGACUGGCCAAAGCUGCUAGAUAUUGUGCAGUUUUCCUACAACUUGCAAAGGAGCGAGGAAUGAACUAAAGCCCAUUUGAGGUUGUGACAGGGCAACAACCACUAACACUCGAUUUGAUUGCUGCAGGUUAUACAGGGCCGAAUCUAGUAGCUUACAAGUUUGCCAAGGCAUGGCAGGAGCAAACUGACUUGGCCAGAGUUUGUCUACAUAAGGCGGCCAAGAGGUCGAAAAAGUGGGCAGACCAGAAUAGGGGGGACAUGCAGUUCCAGGUUAGAGACUUGGUGUUGGUGAAGUUGCAUUCCAUUGUGUGCCACAGGGGGCUGCACAAAGGCCUAGUCCAGAGGUAUAAGGGACCUUUCUAGGUAGUCAAAAGGGUAGGCAAGGUUGCCUACAAGCUGGAUAUGCCACCCAAGCCAAGGGUACACCAGGUGUUUCAUGUGAGCAUGCUCAAGCCGUGUGCCGGUCGGGGGACGGAUUGGGAAUGGCUCCCUCGGGGGCCUCCCCCAGGCGACGAACAGUCGACUCAGAACUGGUAUGGACAAGGGGAAUCCGAUUGUUUAAUUAAAAUAAAGCAUUGCGAUGGUCCCUACGGAUGCUCAAGUAAUGUGAUUUCUGCCCAGUGCUCUGAAUGUCAAAGUGAAGAAAUUCACCAAGCGCGGGUAAAUAGCGGGAGUAACUAUGACUCUCUUAAGGUAGCCAAAUGCCUCGUCAUUUAAUUAGUAACAUGCAUGAAUGGAUUAACGAGAUUUCCACUGUCCCUGUCUACUAUCCAAUGAAACCACAGCCAAGGGAACAGGCUUGGUGGAAUCAGCGGGGAAAGAAGACCUUGUUGAGCUUGACUCUAGUCCGACUUUGUGAAAUGAAUUGAAAGGUGUAGGAUAAGUGGGAGCCCCGGGCGAAAUUGAAAUACCACUACUUUUAAUGUUAUUUUACUUAUUCCAUGAAUCAGAGGUGAGGCAUGACCCCUUCUUUUGGACCCAAGGCCGACCUCGAUCGGUCGAUCCAGGUGAAAGACAUUGUUAGGUGAGGAGUUUGGUUGGGGCGGCACAUCUAUUAAAAGAUAACGUAGGUGUCUUAAGAUGAGCUUAAUGAGAACAAAAAUCUCAUAUGGAACAAAAGGGUAAAAGCUCAUUUGAUUCUAAUUUUUAGUACGAAUACAAACCGUGAAAGUGUAGCCUAUCGAUCUUUUAGACCUUCAGGAUUUGAAGCUAGAGGUGUCAAAAAAGUUACCACAGGGAUAAUUGGCUUGUGGCAGCCAAGCGUUCAUAGCGAUGUUGCUUUUUGAUCCUUCGAUGUCAGCUCUUCCUAUCAUUAUGAAGCAGAAUUCACCAAGUGUUGGAUUGUUCACCCACCAAUAGGGAACGUGAGCUGGGUUUAGACCGUCGUGAGAGAGGUUAGUUUUACCCUAUUGAUGGCGACGUGGCGAUAGUAAUUCAACCUAGUACGAGAGGAACUAUUGAUUCGCAUAAUUGGUCAUCACGCUUGGUUGAAAAGCCAGUGGCUUGAAGCUACCAUGCGCUGGAUUAUGACUAAAUGCCUCUAAGUCAGAAUCUAAAUUCGGGCUAGAAGCGACGCGCACGUCCGCCGUCCGAUUGUCGACCCGCAGUAGGGGACCAUGGCCCUCAAGGGCACAUUUCAUAGGUGCAACCCCCGCGGUGGAUGAGCCGUGCGGGCCUCCUUGGAGCUCAAUUCCCACCGAGCGAUGGGUAGAAUGUUUUGUAA